AUUGAACGCUGGCGGCAGGCCUACCACAUGCAAGUCGAACGAGUGGCGGACGGGUGAGUAAUGUCUGGGAAACUGCCUGAUGGAGGGGGAUCACUACUGGAAACGGUAGCUAAUACCGCAUACCAUCAGAUGUGCCCAUGUGGGAUUAGCUUGUUGGUGGGGUAACGGCUCACCAAGGCGACGCUCCCUAGCUGGUCUGAGAGGAUGACCAGCCACACUGGAACUUAGACACGGUCCAGACUCCUACGGGAGGCAGCAGUGGGGAAUAUUGCACAAUGGGCGCAAGCCUGAUGCAGCCAUGCCGCGUGUAUGAAGAAGGCCUUCGGGUUGUAAAGUACUUUCAGCGGGGAGGCGUUACCCGCAGAAGAAGCACCGGCUAACUCCGUGCCAGCAGCCGCGGUAAUAC
rnacentral:rRNA from 1 species